rnacentral:rRNA from 1 species
GACGAACGCUGGCGGCGUGCUUAACACAUGCAAGUCGAACGGAAAGGCCCUGCUUUUGUGGGGUGCUCGAGUGGCGAACGGGUGAGUAACACGUGAGUAGCCUGCCCUUGACUUUGGGAUAACUUCAGGAAACUGGGGCUAAUACCGGAUAGGAGCUCCUGCUGCAUGGUGGGGGUUGGAAAGAUUCGGCGGUUGGGGAUGGACUCGCGGCUUAUCAGCUUGUUGGUGGGGUAGUGGCUGACCAAGGCUUUGACGGGUAGCCGGCCUGAGAGGGUGACCGGCCACAUGGGGACUGAGAGACGGCCCAGACGGCUACGGGAGGCAGAAGUGGGGAAUAUUGCAGAAUGGGCGGAAGCCUGAUGCAGCAACGCCGCGUGCGGGAUGACGGCCUUCGGGUUGUAAACCGCUUUCGCCUGUGACGAAGCGUGAGUGACGGUAAUGGGUAAAGAAGCACCGGCUAACUACGUG